rnacentral:rRNA from 1 species
UAUGUAGGGUCCGAGCGUUGUCCGGAAUUAUUGGGCGUAAAGAGCUCGUAGGCGGUUUGUCGCGUCUGCUGUGAAAUCCCGAGGCUCAACCUCGGGCCUGCAGUGGGUACGGGCAGACUGGAGUGCGGUAGGGGAGAAUGGAAUUCCUGGUGUAGCGGUGGAAUGCGCAGAUAUCAGGAGGAACACCGAUGGCGAAGGCAGUUCUCUGGGCCGUAACUGACGCUGAGGAGCGAAAGCGUGGGGAGCGAACAGG